rnacentral:rRNA from 1 species
AUUGAACGCUGGCGGCAUGCCUUACACAUGCAAGUCGAACGGUAACGCGGGGCAACCUGGCGACGAGUGGCGAACGGGUGAGUAAUGUAUCGGAACGUGCCCAGUUGUGGGGGAUAACUGCUCGAAAGAGCAGCUAAUACCGCAUACGACCUGAGGGUGAAAGCGGGGGAUCGCAAGACCUCGCGCACUUGGAGCGCCCGAUAUCAGAUUAGGUAGUUGGUGGGGUAAAGGCUCACCAAGCCAACGAUCUGUAGCUGGUCUGAGAGGACGACCAGCCACACUGGGACUGAGACACGGCCCAGACUCCUACGGGAGGCAGCAGUGGGGAAUUUUGGACAAUGGACGCAAGUCUGAUCCAGCCAUGCCGCGUGCGGGAAGAAGGCCUUCGGGUUGUAAACCGCUUUUGUCAGGGAAGAAACGCUCUGGGUUAAUACCUCGGGGUAAUGACGGUACCUGAAGAAUAAGCACCGGCUAACUACGUGCCAGCCGCCGCCGUAAGAC